AUUGAACGCUGGCGGCAUGCCUUACACAUGCAAGUCGAACGGCAGCACGGGUGCUUGCACCUGGUGGCGAGUGGCGAACGGGUGAGUAAUACAUCGGAACGUACCUUAUCGUGGGGGAUAACGCAGCGAAAGUUGCGCUAAUACCGCAUACGCCCUGAGGGGAAAAGCGGGGGACCGUAAGGCCUCGCGCGAUUAGAGCGGCCGAUGUCUGAUUAGCUUGUUGGUGAGGUAAAAGCUCACCAAGGCGAUGAUCAGUAGCUGGUCUGAGAGGACGAUCAGCCACACUGGGACUGAGACACGGCCCAGACUCCUACGGGUGGCUG
rnacentral:rRNA from 1 species